rnacentral:rRNA from 1 species
UACGUAGGGACGAGCGUUGUCCGGAAUUACUGGGCGGUAAAGGGACGCGCAGGCUGUAGAUCAAGUCAGCUGUGAAAUGUCUGGGCUUAACCCGGGCAUGCGGUUGAAACUGAUGUACUGGAGUGCUGUAGAGGCAAGUGGAAUUCCCAGUGUAGCGGUGAAAUGCGUAGAUAUUGGGAAGAACACCGGUGGCGAAGGCGACUUGCUGGGCAGCAACUGACGCUGAGGCGCGAAAGCCAGGGGAGCAAACGGGAUUAGAUA